AUGAACGCUGGCGGCGUGCCUAAUACAUGCAAGUCGCGCGAACAGACGAGGAGCUUGCUCCUCUGACGUUAGCGGCGGACGGGUGAGUAACACGUGGAUAACCUACCUAUAAGACUGGGAUAACUUCGGGAAACCGGAGCUAAUACCGGAUAAUAUAUUGAACCGCAUGGUUCAAUAGUGAAAGACGGUUUUGCUGUCACUUAUAGAUGGAUCCGCGCCGCAUUAGCUAGUUGGUAAGGUAACGGCUUACCAAGGCAACGAUGCGUAGCCGACCUGAGAGGGUGAUCGGCCACACUGGAACUGAGACACGGUCCAGACUCCUACGGGAGGCAGCAGUAGGGAAUCUUCCGCAAUGGGCGAAAGCCUGACGGAGCAACGCCGCGUAAGUGAUGAAGGUCUUCGGAUCGUAAAACUCUGUUAUUAGGGAAGAACAAAUGUGUAAGUAACUAUGCACGUCUUGACGGUACCUAAUCAGAAAGCCACGGCUAACUACGUG
rnacentral:rRNA from 1 species